rnacentral:rRNA from 1 species
GCAGCCGCCGCGGUAAUACGUAGGGGGCGAGCGUUGUCCGGAAUCACUGGGCGUAAAGGGUCGGUAGGCGGCGGGUUAAGUCUCACGUUAAAGCUCCGGGCUCAACUCGGGAAAGGCGUGGGAGACUGGCUCGCUUGAGGCCAGCAGAGGUGAGCGGAACGGUGCAAGUAGCGGUGAAACGCAUUGAUAUGCACCGGAACACCAAUGGCGAAGGCAGCUCGCUGGGCUGGUCCUGACGCUGAGCGACGAAAGCCAGGGGAGCGAACGGGAUUAGAUACCCCGGUAGUCCUGGCUGUAAACGAUGGGUACUGGGCGUCGGGGGUAUCGACCCCCUCGGUGCCGCAGCUAACGCGUUAAGUACCCCGCCUGGGGAGUACGGCCGCAAGGUUGAAACUCAAAGGAAUUGACGGGGGCCCGCACAAG